rnacentral:lncRNA from 1 species
UUUUAAAUAAACUAGAGGCUCUAAAGAGCCUGUGUCGCUCACCUUGGUCUAUGUGAAUAUUAAACAAAGCAAGAAGAUGGAUUCAUGACAAAAUUGUGUUUUGGUGAUGAUGUGUUUGUACAUCUUACUUUACUGAACAUUCUUGCUGCUUACAAUUAUCUCUAUCUAUAAUGAACUUGGCCCAGUAGUUUCAGUAAAAAAUGUUUGUAAAAAUUUACAAAUUUUAUGAAAAUUGUUAAAAAUUGACUAUAAAGGACAAUAACUCCUUAGGGGGUCAAUUGACCAUUUCAGUCAUGUUGACUUAUUUGUAAAUCUUACUUUGCUGUACAUUAUUGCUGUUUAAAGUUUAUCUCUAUCUAUAAUAAUAUUCAAGAUAAUAACCCAAAACAGUAAAAUUUCCUUAAAAUUACCAAUUUAGGGGCAGCAACCCAACAACGGGUUGUCCGAUUCAUCCGAAAUUUCAGGGCAGAUAGAUUUGACCUGAUAAACAAAUUCAACCCAAUGUCAGAUUUGCUCUAAAUGCUUUGGUUUUUGAGUUAUAAGCCAAAAACUGCAUUUUACCCCUAUGUUCUAUUUUUAGCCAUGGCAGCCAUCUUGGUUGGAUGGCCAGGUCACCGGACACAUUUUUUAAACUAGAUACCCCAAAGAUGAUUGUGGCCAAGUUUGGAUUAAUUUGGCCCAGUAGUUUCAGAGAAGAAGAUUUUUGUAAAAGAUUACUAAGAUUUACGAAAAAUGGUUAAAAAUUGACUAUAAAGGGCAAUAACUCCUUCAAGGGGUCAACUGACCAUUUUGGUCAUGUUGACUUAUUUGUAAAUCUUACUUUGCUGAACAUUAUUGCUGUUUACAGUUUAUCUCUAUCUAUAAUAAUAUUCAAGAUAAUAACCAAAAACAGCAAAAUUUCCUUAAAAUUACCAAUUCAGGGGCAGCAACCCAACAACAGGUUGUCCGAUUCAUCUGAAAAUUUCAGGGCAGAUAGAUCUUGACCUGAUAAACAAUUUUUACCGAUGUCAGAUUUGCUCUAAAUGCUUUGGUU